AGCUCUUUAAAAAAAUCUUUUCGUGGCUACCUUGAGACACUGGUUAUACUUCCCAUCACAGUUAAGUUUUUUCCAGUGGUGACAAUGAGACCUGUUAACAAUU
ensembl:snoRNA